rnacentral:pre_miRNA from 1 species
UUUAAGUGCAAGCAUAAGUGUCUGCACCCAAGUCCAUCUUAAUUGAAUUUUUUUAUAACUAGUAUUUUCAUUAUUAUAAGAUGAUAAAACAUGAAUAGUACUUUAUAAGUGACAUAUGUUUUUAAUUUUUUCAUUUUUUUAAAAAAAAUAAAACGUACAGUUAAAGUUGUGCACGAAAAAUCAUGGCUGCACUUAAA